rnacentral:rRNA from 1 species
CCCUUAGAUGUUCUGGGCCGCACGCGCGCUACACUGAUGCAUUCAACGAGUCUAAAACCUGCUCUGAUAGGGGUGGGUAAUCUUUUGAAUGUGCAUCGUGAUUGGGAUAGAUGAUUGCAAUUUUUCAUCUUCAACGAGGAAUGCCUAGUAAACGCAAGUCAUCAGCUUGCAUUGAUUACGUCCCUGCCCUUUGUACACACCGCCCGUCGCUUCUACCGAUUGAAUGAUCCGAUGAAUAUCAUGGAUUGAGGAUGCAAGCAGGUUCGCCUGUCUUCAUCUUCGAGAAGUGAAGUAAAUCUUAUCAUUUAGAGGAAGGAGAAGUCGUAACA